UACAGAGGGCCCGAGCGUUAAUCAGAAUCACUGGGCUUAAAGGGUGCGUAGGCGGACCCAAAGGCAUGUUGUGAAAUCCCUCGGCUCAACCGGGGAACUGCAAUGUGAACCAUGGGUCUUGAGGCAGGUAGGGGCGGUCGGAACGAUAGGUGGAGCGGUGAAAUGCGUAGAUAUCUAUCGGAACGCCAUACGAGAAGUCAGGCCGCUGGGCCUGUCCUGACGCUGAGGCACGAAAGCGUGGGUAGCAAACGGG
rnacentral:rRNA from 1 species